rnacentral:rRNA from 1 species
UACGUAGGGUGCAAGCGUUGUCCGGAUUUAUUGGGCGUAAAGAGCGUGUAGGCGGCCUGACAGGUCAGCUGUGAAAACUCGAGGCUCAACCUCGAGACGUCGGUUGAAACCAUCUGGCUAGAGUCCGGAAGAGGAGUGUGGAAUUCCCGGUGUAGCGGUGAAAUGCGCAGAUAUCGGGAAGAACACCCGUGGCGAAGGCGGCACUCUGGGACGGUACUGACGCUGAGACGCGAAAGCGUGGGGAGCGAACAGG